rnacentral:tRNA from 1 species
GUUUUGAAAUGUAAUGUUUAGCUGUUACUUAAAGAAAAUCAAAUAUUAUAUAUACGCUUGAAAAAAUAAAAUAAU